rnacentral:rRNA from 1 species
ACGAUGAAGCCCACUUGUGGGUGGAUUAGUGGCGAACGGGUGAGUAACACGUGAGUAACCUGCCCUUGACUCUGGGAUAAGCCUGGGAAACUGGGUCUAAUACCGGAUAUGACCUUCCAUCGCAUGGUGGUUGGUGGAAAGCUUUUGUGGUUUUGGAUGGACUCGCGGCCUAUCAGCUUGUUGGUGGGGUAAUGGCCUACCAAGGCGACGACGGGUAGCCGGCCUGAGAGGGUGACCGGCCACACUGGGACUGAGACACGGCCCAGACUCCUACGGGAGGCAGCAGUGGGGAAUAUUGCACAAUGGGCGGAAGCCUGAUGCAGCGACGCCGCGUGAGGGAUGACGGCCUUCGGGUUGUAAACCUCUUUCAGUAGGGAAGAAGCGUAAGUGACGGUACCUGCAGAAGAAGCGCCGGCUAACUACGUGCCAGCAGCCGCGGUAAUACGUAGGGCGCAAGCGUUAUCCGGAAUUAUUGGGCGUAAAGAGCUCGUAGGCGGUUUGUCGCGUCUGCCGUGAAAGUCCGGGGCUCAACUCCGGAUCUGCGGUGGGUACGGGCAGACUAGAGUGAUGUAGGGGAGACUGGAAUUCCUGGUGUAGCGGUGAAAUGCGCAGAUAUCAGGAGGAACACCGAUGGCGAAGGCAGGUCUCUGGGCAUUAACUGACGCUGAGGAGCGAAAGCAUGUGGAGCGAACAGGAUUAGAUACCCUGGUAGUCCAUGCCGUAAACGUUGGGCACUAGGUGUGGGGGACAUUCCACGUUUUCCGCGCCGUAGCUAACGCAUUAAGUGCCCCGCCUGGGGAGUACGGCCGCAAGGCUAAAACUCACAGGAAUUGACGGGGGCCCGCACAAGCGGCGGAGCAUGCGGAUUAAUUCGAUGCAACGCGAAGAACCUUACCAAGGCUUGACAUGAACCGGACCGGGCUGGAAACAGUCUUUCUCCUUGUGGGCUGGUUUACAGGUGGUGCAUGGUUGUCGUCAGCUCGUGUCGUGAGAUGUUGGGUUAAGUCCCGCAACGAGCGCAACCCUCGUUCUAUGUUGCCAGCACGUGAUGGUGGGGACUCAUAGGAGACUGCCGGGGUCAACUCGGAGGAAGGUGGGGACGACGUCAAAUCAUCAUGCCCCUUAUGUCUGGGCU